UGGAGGCAUCCUUUCUAGCGAAGGACAAGGCCAUGUCUGAGAUGGAGGCUCUCCUUGUGGAAAAACAGAGCACGAUUUCUGGCUUGGAGACCAUGCUUGGCGCCAGGAACAAGGAGAACAACAUGAAAGUUGCCUUUAUCUCUAGGCUAGUGUAAUACCCGGAAUUAAGAAAUGGAUUAGCAAAACCCUAACUAGAUAAUUAUGUAUAAUUGAGGAAAUUAUUUUAUUAUAUAAUUUAAUAUAUGUGAAAUUAUAUGAAUUUUAUUAUGUUAAGACCCCGUUGGUGAGCCAGGGGCAUUUUAGUAAUUAUGACCCGAGAAGGGUAAAAUUAUGAAAUUAAUUUGAUUACGUGCUUAAUGGAACUAUAUUAUUAUAUAGUAUACCUGUGUUGUCUUUUCAGGUGUGUUCUGACAGGUUAGCGCGGUAUAGUCACAACCGGGAAUUUCGGGCCAAACCGGGUUCGGGCCCGAAAUGUAAAUUGGAUUGAUAAUUUGGCAUUUUAUUUGAUGAAUGAUAAUCUGAAAUUUAUUUGAAAUUAAUUGAGUAUUGAAAUGACUUAUUUACCCUUGUGAGGGUGUAGGUGUGAAUAAUAAGCCAUGAGGGCAUUUUGGUCAUUUGACCCCUAUUUACUAUGUUUGAUUAAAAUUGAUUUUUAAUGAAAUGAAAUGCAAAAUUCUGGUUUUACUUUCACUCUUGGCCGACCCCCUCUCUCUCCCAAACCCUCUUAUUAUUUCAAAGUUGAAUUUGAAGAAAAGCUUGGUUCUUAGCUUGUUUUGGAGCUUUGAAGUUGUGAAUUCUUGAGCUUGGAGUUGAGGAUUACCGGCACCUGGUCAGGAGCACCCGGGGAUUUGGAAUCUCUACUAUUGCGGGACAACAGGAAAGGGUAAGGCAUUAGCUGAUCAGCCAUGAGUUUCAGGAGCAGGGCGAAGAAUGUACAUGUUCAUGCCACUUCAGACCAAGCGGGUUAUGGGUCUAACAGUGUUGACUUUUGUAUUCUGUUUUGCCGCUUAGGUCGGCUAGUAAGAAAGAACUUGUAAUAAGUUUGUAAAUAUUUUUGGGAUCCCAACUAUUUUGAAAAGUUUAAAUAUAUUACAAGUUUAUUUUCAGUCUGUUUAAUAUAAAAGUUUAAAUUUUGCGCUA